GACGAACGCUGGCGGCGUGCUUAACACAUGCAAGUCGAACGAAGUGGCGAACGGGUGAGUAACGCGUAAUCAACCUGCCCUUCAGAGGGGGACAACAGUUGGAAACGACUGCUAAUACCGCAUACUGAAGGAGGGGAUUGCGUCUGAUUAGCUAGUUGGCGGGGUAACGGCCCACCAAGGCGAUGAUCAGUAGGCGGGCCGAGAGGAUGAACCGCCACAUUUGGACUGAGAAACGGCCCCGAAGCCUACGGGAGGCCGCAAUGGGGAAUUGUCCGCCAUGGAGGGAAGGCUGACUGAGCAACGCCGGGUGAGUGAUGACGGCCUUCGGGUUGGAAAGCUCUGUUAAUCGGGACGCGGUACCGGAAUAGAAAGCCACGGCUAACUACGUGCCAGCAGCCGCGGUAAUUC
rnacentral:rRNA from 1 species